rnacentral:rRNA from 1 species
AGCGAACGCUGGCGGCAGGCUUAACACAUGCAAGUCGAGCGGGCACCUUCGGGUGUCAGCGGCAGACGGGUGAGUAACACGUGGGAACGUACCCUUCGGUUCGGAAUAACGCUGGGAAACUAGCGCUAAUACCGGAUACGCCCUUAUGGGGAAAGGUUUACUGCCGAAGGAUCGGCCCGCGUCUGAUUAGCUAGUUGGUGGGGUAACGGCCUACCAAGGCGACGAUCAGUAGCUGGUCUGAGAGGAUGAUCAGCCACACUGGGACUGAGACACGGCCCAGACUCCUCGGGGAGGAGGCAGUGGGGAAUAUUGGACAAGGGGCGAAGGCCUGAUCCACCCAGGCCGCGGGAGUGAUGAGGGCCUUGGGGUUGAAAAGCUUUUUUGUCGGGGACGAUAAUGACGGUACCGAAAAAAAAACCCCCGGCUAACUUCGUC